GUUGUUAACAGGGUAAACUCACCAGAAUAAAGUUGUUAACAGGGUAAACUCUACAGAAUAAGGUUGUUAACAGGGUAAACUCUACAGAAUAAAGAUGUUACCAGGGUAAACUCUACAGAAUAAAGUUGUUAACAGGGUAAACUCUACAGAAUAAAGUUGUUAACAGGGUAAACUCUACAGAAUAAAGAUGUUACCAGGGUAAACUCUACAGAAUAAGGUUGUUAACAGGGUAAACUCACCAGAAUAAAGUUGUUAACAGGGUAAACUCUACAGAAUAAGGUUGUUAACAGGGUAAACUCUACAGAAUAAAGUUGUUAACAGGGUAAACUCUACAGAAUAAGGUUGUUAACAGGGUAAACUCUACAGAAUAAAGAUGUCUGAACACAGAACAUGUUAAUGGGUAAACUGCUGGUCAACAUUUUGACACAGCUGAAUCAACAACCAGUAGAAGCACAUCACACACCUUGUCUACGUCCCAAAUAGCAUCCUAUUCCUUGUUUCGUGCCCUACUUUAAUCUAGAGCCCUAUUCCCUGUAUUGUGCCCUACUUUAAUCUAGAGCCCUGAUCCCUGUAUCGUGCCCUACUUUCAUCUAGAGCCCUAUUCCCUGUAUCGUGCCCUACUUUCAACCAGAGCCCUAUUCCCUGUAUCGUGCCCUACUUUCAACCAGAGCCCUGAUCCCUGUUUCGUGCCCUACUUUCAACCAGAGCCCUAUUCCCUGUAUCGUGCCCUACUUUCAACCAGAGCCCUGGUAGUGGCCCUUAGGAUGAAUAGGAUGCCAUUUGGGACGUAGACCUUCGCCAGGUUUAUGAGGGGAAACCAACGCAUCCACACCUGCUAGGUAUGAACCCCGUGGGUGCGAACCACAGAAACACCCAGACACACAUCCCAGGACAUAUUCAUUAGGCGCACACACAGAGACACACACAGAAACACCCAGACACACACACACAAACACCCAGACACACACCCCAGGACAUAUUCAUUAGGCGCACACACAGACACACACACACACAGAAACACACACAGACACACA
ensembl:lncRNA